UACCCGCAGCACAAGUGGUGGUCAUUAUUAUUGGGCCUAAAGCGUCCGUAGCUGGCCUGUUAGAUGCCUGGGUAAAUCGAUGCGCUCAACGUAUCGAACUCCGGGUAGACCGGCAGGCUUGGGACCGGGAGAGAUGUGAGCUACUCGAGGGGUAGGGGUAAAAUCCUGUAAUCCUCCGGGGAGGACCAGUGGCGAAGGCGCUACA
rnacentral:rRNA from 1 species